GAGCAGAAAGUUCCUCCGCAACAAGAUGCAAAAGUACGCUGGAAAGUGCCUCAAUCCCCACAGAAUUCCUCAGGCUGAAACGGUACCGGUGGAUCGUGCCUGCCCGCGGUGAGGUGGAACUGAAGGUCCACUUCUCCACCAUAAAGCCAGGGAAGUUUGAGCAGACGCUGAGGUUUGAGCUCGUGCAGACAAAGCGCCAGUACGAGCUGCCCUGCAGUGGCACCAGCCUGUACCCCAGCAUCAGCCAGAACCCACGGGUGGUGUUUCCACAGUGGAGGAAAACCAUGGAGAAAGAUGAAGUUGUC